CACCCGGGUGUUAGAGGUCGGCACUUGGAAGGGAAGCGGUUCUCAGCUGUUUACGAGUUAGCGACACGCAGAGUUUUCUUGAAGUCUCUGCGGAGCCCCUGGGUAAGACCCCAUAGUGAAGGCUGCAGAAUCUUCCUUCCGGCCUCAGCAGCUCUGGUUGAGUCCAUGGGUGCCCACCUGGCCUCGGGCUCCCAGGAAGAGCAGAGCUGUCAGCAAGAGAGCCUGGGGGCUGAGGCCCAGCAAGAAGAUGCCAGCCAACUGGAGCUCUCCCCAGUGGUCCCCAGCCCUGGCUGCAGAGGGACAUGGCAGCAUGUGUGAGGAGGUGGGGCUUCCUGAAGAGAGGAGAGAGAUGGGUGUCUGGAAAAAAUAUUGGCUGAAAUAUUUCCACAUAAGAUAAAAAAUAUAUACCCAAAGAUACAACAAUCAACAAAUCCUAAGCACAACAACAUGAGAAAACUACUUAAGGCACGUCAUAAUCAAGUUGCUCAAAACCACUGGUGAAGAGAAAAUCCUAGAGAAAAAAAGAAAAUGCACAGGAACAAAGAUAAGGACGAAAGCAGUUUUCUUGUCAGUAACAAGCCAGGAAACAGUGGAGCAAGGAAACAGUGGAGCAAGAACUUUACUGAAAUUAACAACAACAAACCAGCAACCUAGAAUUCUCUACCUGCAAAAUUAUUUUUUUAAUGAAGACAAAAUAAAGACAUUUUCAGACAUACAAAAGUUUAAAGAAUUCAUCAUCAGCUGACCUGCACUACAAAAAAUGUUAAAGGAAGUCCUUCAAGCAGAAGGCAAAUGAUACCAGAUGGAAAUCUACAUCUACACAAAGGAAUGAAGAGCACCAGAAAUGGUAACU